rnacentral:lncRNA from 10 species
GCUUAUAGUCCCAGCUACUCAGGAGGCUGAAGUGGGAGGAUCGCUUGAGCCUGGGAGGCAAAGGCUUGCAGUGAGCCCAGAUUGCACCACUGCACUCUAGCCUGGGUGACAGAGUGAGACCAUGUCUCAAAAAAAAAAAAAAAAAAAACCAGACACAUUUCGAUAGAAACAUUACUGCAUAAGGUAUUAAAAUUAUGUGUUAACAUUUGAUCACCAAAGGAAAUAUAAGCAUUAUUGCAUUCUAUCUUUUAGUAUUGUUAAAUUUCUUUAUUUAGUCGAUGUUGUAUUAAAGUUAAA